GUUUCCUACGGGAGGCAGCAGUGAGGAAUAUUGGUCAAUGGGCUUACGCCUGAACCAGCCAAGUCGCGUGAGGGAAGACCGCCCUAUGGGUUGUAAACCUCUUUUGUCAGGGAGCAACGCCGGCUACGUGUAGCCGGACUGAGAGUACCUGAAGAAAAAGCAUAGGCUAACUCCGUGCCAGCAGCCGCGGUAAUACGGAGGAUGCGAGCGUUAUCCGGAUUUAUUGGGUUUAAAGGAAGCGUAGGCGGAAUGCCAAGUUAGCGGUAAAAUCGCGGGGCCCAACCUCGCUCGGCCGUUGAAACUGG
rnacentral:rRNA from 1 species